GUUUCAUCAACAUUGAUGACAUAUUCUUUUUGAAUUUUUAAACUAGAAUCGGUACUUGCAGCGACCGUGAGGAAAGCGCUGAAGUUACUCAAGAGGGUAAACUGAUUAGCUGUUACAGAGAAAAAGGAUUCGGAUUUGUUGAAGCCAAGGUAUGUGGUGGGGUAAAAAUAGAGACGGAGGAAACUAGUGCCAGGAGGAACACGGAAAGGGUAGGUGAAUUUAGAUUUGAAAAUACGAGCAUUCGUAUAAGGGACUCUAGAAACUGAAGAGUCUUGUUCAGAGGCUGUGGCUGGUGAUGAUAUGGUUGAUGAAUUGGAAGGUAACAAAUUGGGAUAGUGGGUAUCAGUAUCCCAUCGACGGCCAUCUUCAUCAGUGGCGACUGAUGGUGCGCCACAGUUGAGCAAGAAAUAUACUGUGGCAUUAUACGAUGAAGGCGUGACAGAAAUAGUGGCCGUUAUGAGUUGUAAGAGGAGAAAUGAAAUCAAAGCAAUGGCAACCAUGGUUGUGGUGGUUAUGAAAGUAAAAUACUACUAUGGAUUUGGUGUGUAGAUAGAUAUUAGUUAGAUGAAGUAAUAAUUAUACUCAACAAUAGCAAAGACUUGAGGGUUGACUCUCAAGUCAUUUUUGCUACUGUAAUUCUUAAUUUUGUAUGGCUGAAAGCCGACGUAGACCGAAAUAGUGUCCUUUGUCAUCAUUCGUUUAUUUUACUUUUUUGUUCAAGUAUUGUACAAAAUGAAAUAGCCUAGUAUUCAGUCUUCCGUACUUCUUGUGUUAUUAUAUAAUACUUAGUCUUUUUUUAAUUCAUUUAAAAAAGAAUGUUAAAUUUUUUUUUUUUUUUUUUGCUAACUAUUUAAAGAUAGAAUUUCAUGUUUACUCUUAUUGAUCCCACUUAUAAUGACCGACUUAAUUAAAAAUAGUAGUAGUAUAUUUUUUUAAUAAAAGAUAAUUUGAUAAAAAUUCAUCAAGUCUUUUCUUAUUUAUUAAACUCUAUAGUCUAUAUCCAGUCAAACUAUGACACAUAAAAUAAAACGCAGAAAGCAUUAUUUUCCUUUAUAAGUACUCACUGUAGCCCAACUUUCAUGACAUCGAUAAACUUUGACAAAGUAUUUAAGAAAUAAAGAAAUACGUUGAAAAUUUAUAGUCUAAAAUAAAUAUUUUAUUAUAAAAAUGGAAGUUUAAAGUUAAUUUAUUUUUGUUUAUAGAAAUAUGGCAUUUUUUGGGGAUAAAUUAAAACAAAAUGAGUCAUAGAAGUUGGAAUAACGAGAGUAAUUAAUUGACAAGAAAAGAUCAAUAUAUUUCAUUUAAGAAAUGAGUUAACUUUAAAUUUUUAGUUUUAAUAAGUAAUUUAUAGUCAGACAAGAAAGCAAAUCAUUAUAUAUUAACAUUACCUACUAGUGACAAUCAAAACCUACCCAUCAAGGUGACUUUACUGUUUAAGUGCGCAAAGUUUAGUUACUUCAAUAUGAUUAAAUAAUAUACAAGUUUACUGUUAUACCGUAUAAAGUUCAGUGACUAUGAGUGAGAUUAAAUGUAUACCUGUAUGGAGAUAACACAAUCCUUUUGCUGCGCCAAUGCAAAUCUCAAGGCGUUUCCUCCAUGGAAGAGGAGCAUUAUCAGCUUUGUACAAGUGAUCACGGAGAGUUCCAUGAGCCAUGUAAUCAUAAACCAAAAUCAUCUCAUUGUUAUCAUCACAAUAACCAAUUAAGGAUACCAAAUGCAGAUGUCUUAGCUUUGAUAACAUGUGAAUCUCUGUCUCAAACUCGCGAACUCCUUGCUUUGAUGAAGGAUUCAAUCUCUUGAUUGCAACUGUGGUUGUGCCGUUGUCUAUGUACCCUUUGUACACAUUACCGAAACCUCCAUACCCAAUCACAAAAUUGUCAUCAAAAUUUCCUGUUGCAGCUUUUAUCUCCUCCAGUAAAAAGUGUCGAGGGUAAUGAUGAUGAGCCUGACCCGCUGGUCCUUUGGGUUGAGUUCGAUGUAAUUGAUAAAGGGAUCCACGAUGAUUUUGUAACGCUUGUAUGCAGAUCCUUUCCCUUUUUCCUCCGCUGGAAAAUCAAGAAACAUAGAAUUGACAACAGAGCAAUUCCACUAAUCACACCUGCUGUGAUAACAACAAAGACAUGCCAUUUCUUUUUCUUUUUUUCCUUUGGGGUUGAAUUCUCUGGAACUUCUAACCGCGAUUCAGGAUUUGGGACGGAAAAAUUUCCUUUUCGAUCGCUCAACUUGAAAAUUUCUAAGCCAUUUAAGAUAGCAUUUUCAUACACAGCUUUUGUUUCCAUGUUAGGUCGCAAUUCAAGCGACACAUCUUUCUUGCCUCGUCGGCCAUCUGGAUCUCUCACAAACACCACGUAGUCUGUGUACAUCGGGACUCUCCAGCCGCGACUCCGUUGAAUCACAUCGACUAGUUGAUCUGCCGUUUGGUUUCCAAUGAGUAUAUCGAAAACCCGAUAGUUCUGUUCCUUAACUUCCAGCUGAAUCUCACAAAAAUGGAGCCUGAAAAGAUAGUAGAACCCAGCGUCAAGAGGAAAAAUCCAAUCCAGGCUCUGGCUGUAAUUGGCGAUGGUCCUAGAGGUUGUGUAAACUAUGUUUGGCGCCGUAUAAGCCGGGGUUUCAGAAGUGUAAUUAAUGUUGACAUCUAUAUGAGGAGUUUGAUAGUCAUAUCCAACAACAAAGUCUUCAUCUGAAUCCCAUACCCGAUACAUGCCUGUAUCCCCUGUGCUCGAAACCAAAUUGCCUCCCACGUUCAGCCUGUACACAUUUUCAAGAGCAGUGCUGUUAUUGAUGUAAUAAAGAUUAUACUGCCCCACCAAUAUGAUGCCACCACUAUCUUCACGGAGAUAAAGAUCAGUUGGCAUGGAAACAAUCUCGAUCCCAUUAACAAAAGCGUAAGAGUUCGGCGAAGGAGAAAAGGUUAUAUUGAGUAUCUGAGUUUCAUCAACAUUGAUGACAUAUUCUUUUUGAAUUUUUAAACUAGAAUCGGUACUUGCAGCGACCGUGAGGAAAGCGCUGAAGUUACUCAAGAGGGUAAACUGAUUAGCUGUUACAGAGAAAAAGGAUUCGGAUUUGUUGAAGCCAAGGUAUGUGGUGGGGUAAAAAUAGAGACGGAGGAAACUAGUGCCAGGAGGAACACGGAAAGGGUAGGUGAAUUUAGAUUUGAAAAUACGAGCAUUCGUAUAAGGGACUCUAGAAACUGAAGAGUCUUGUUCAGAGGCUGUGGCUGGUGAUGAUAUGGUUGAUGAAUUGGAAGGUAACAAAUUGGGAUAGUGGGUAUCAGUAUCCCAUCGACGGCCAUCUUCAUCAGUGGCGACUGAUGGUGCGCCACAGUUGAGCAAGAAAUAUACUGUGGCAUUAUACGAUGAAGGCGUGACAGAAAUAGUGGCCGUUAUGAGUUGUAAGA
rnacentral:lncRNA from 1 species